rnacentral:rRNA from 1 species
CUCUAGUGCGUCUUGCGACGAUCCAAGAAUUUCACCUCUAACGUCGCAAUACGAAUGCCCCGCCCGACGUACGUACCAACUUAGUUAGUACUACUUAACCUUUACCCUACUAAUUUACCUUUAAAACCCCUAAAAAACCCAAAAAACUAAAAAGUAAACCGGAAACCGGGUACCGGUUCCGUUUUUAGUUUUUACUACUUACCUUACCUAGUCGACCCAACCCUAACUUUACUUACGGACGGACGAAGUAAUUUUACUUUACGACCGUCCGUCGUUUAACGUUUAACGACCUACCUUAACUUUUAAGUUUUUCGUUAAACGUAAAGGUAACGGUAACGGUUCGGGUCCCGGUACCCCUUACCCGUACCGAACCUACCGUUUUAACGGUUUAAAGGACGACCCGAAACCGGUAAAGGGUAAGGGAAGGAAGUACGGUCCCGGAACCCGGAAAACGGGUAAACGUAACCAACCGAACGUAGUCGUAACCUAAACUACGGUACCGUAACUUAAAAGUAAACCCGACCCUAGUUAGGUACGGUCCGGUUCGGGUACGGUACCCGUUUCCCGUUACCCAACCCCGAACCCGAACGGAACGGAACUAGUCCGGCCCGGACCGAACUAGUCCGACCGUUAACGUUAACCCGAACCCGAACGGAC